rnacentral:rRNA from 1 species
AUUGAACGCUGGCGGCAUGCUUUACGCAUGCAAGUCGAACGGAAGCGCGGGGUUUGGCCUGGCGGCGAGUGGCGAACGGGUGAGUAAUACAUAGGAACGUGCCCAGUAGUGGGGGAUAGCUCGGCGAAAGCCGGACUAAUACCGCAUACGACCUGAGGGUGAAAGCGGGGGAUCUUCGGACCUCGCGCUAUUUGAUCGGCCGAUGGCGGAUUAGCUAGUUGGUGGGGUAAAGGCCUACCAAGGCGACGAUCGGUAGCUGGUCUGAGAGGACGACCAGCCACACUGGAACUGAGACACGGCCCAGACUCCUACGGGAGGCAGCAGUGGGGAAUUUUGGACAAUGGGCGAAAGCCUGAUCCAGCAAUGCCGCGUGUGUGAUGAAGGCCUUCGGAUUGUAAAGCACUUUUGGCGGGAACGAAAAGGACUGUGCCAAUACCACGGUUCGAUGACGGUACCCGCAGAAUAAGCACCGGCUAACUACGUG